AACGAACUCUGGCGGCGUGCUUAACACAUGCAAGUCGAACGAGACCUUCGGGCAUAGUGGCGCACGGGUGCGUAACGCGUGGGAACCUGCCCUUAGGUUCCGAAUAACUCCCAGAAAGGGAUGCUAAUACGGGAUAAUGUCUUCGGACCAAAGAUUUAUCGCCUUUGGAUGGGCCCGCGUUGGUUUAGCUUGUUGGUAGGGUAAAAGCCUACCAAGGCGACGAUCCAUAGCUGGUCUGAGAGGAUGAUCAGCCACACUGGGACGGAGACACGGCACAGACUCCUACGGGAGGGAGCAGUGGGGAAUAGUGUACAAUGGGCGAAAGCCUGAUCCAGCCAUGCCGCGUGAGGGAUGAAGGCCGUAGGGUUGUAAAGCUCUUUUACACGGGAUGAUAAUGACAGUACCGGGAGAAUAAGCUCCGGCUAACUCCGUG
rnacentral:rRNA from 1 species